CCUAGAGUUCCCAUGGCAAACUGCUCAGUAACACAUGAUCAACUUACCCUAUAGAGAAAAAUAACCUCGGGAAACUGAGGAUAAUGUUUCAUAGUUGAAUUGGCUUGGAAAAGUUUUUCGACGAAAAGGGUAAAAAGAAUGGUUUUUAUCUGCUAUAGGAUAGGAUCGUGUUCGAUUAUGGUUGUUGGUGAGGUAAUGGCUCACCAAGCCGAUAAUCGAUAGGGGCCGUGAGAGCGGGAGCCCCGAGAUGGAUACUGAGACAACGACCCAGGCCUUACGAGGCGCAGCAGGCGCGGAACCUCCGCAAUACACGAAAGUGUGACGGGGUUACCCAAAGUGUUCUAUUUAGAACUGUGGUAGGUGAGUAAUGUCCCCUACUAUAAAGGAGAGGGCAAGGCUGGUGCCAGCCGCCGCGGUAAAACCAGCUCUUCAAGUGGUCGGGAUAAUUAUUGGGCUUAAAGUGUCCGUAGCCGGUUUAGUAAGUUCCUGGUAAAAUCGGGUAGCUUAACUAUCUGUAUGCUAGGAAUACUGCUAUACUAGAGGGCGGGAGAGGUUUGAGGUACUACAGGGGUAGGGGUGAAAUCUUAUAAUCCUUGUAGGACCACCAGUGGCGAAGGCGUCAGACUGGAACGCGCCUGACGGUGAGGGACGAAAGCCAGAGGAGCGAACCGGAUUAGAUACCCGGGUAGUCCUGGCCGUAAACGAUGCAUACUAGGUGAUGGUACGGCCAUGAGCCGUGUCAGUGCCGUAGGGAAACCGUUAAGUGUGCCGCCUGGGAAGUACGGUCGCAAGGCUAAAACUUAAAGGAAUUGGCGGGGGAGCACCACAAGGGGUGAAGCCUGCGGUUCAAUUGGA
rnacentral:rRNA from 1 species